AACACAUGCAAGUCGAGCGGGCGUAGCAAUACGUCAGCGGCAGACGGGUGAGUAACGCGUGGGAACGUACCUUUUGGUUCGGAACAACACAGGGAAACUUGUGCUAAUACCGGAUAAGCCCUUACGGGGAAAGAUUUAUCGCCGAAAGAUCGGCCCGCGUCUGAUUAGCUAGUUGGUGAGGUAACGGCUCACCAAGGCGACGAUCAGUAGCUGGUCUGAGAGGAUGAUCAGCCACAUUGGGACUGAGACACGGCCCAAACUCCUACGGGAGGCAGCAGUGGGGAAUAUUGGACAAUGGGGGCAACCCUGAUCCAGCCAUGCCGCGUGAGUGAUGAAGGCCCUAGGGUUGUAAAGCUCUUUUGUGCGGGAAGAUAAUGACGGUACCGCAAGAAUAAGCCCCGGCUAACUUCGUGCCAGCAGCCGCGGUAAUACGAAGGGGGCUAGCGUUGCUCGGAAUCACUGGGCGUAAAGGGUGCGUAGGCGGGUCUUUAAGUCAGAGGUGAAAUCCUGGAGCUCAACUCCAGAACUGCCUUUGAUACUGAGGAUCUUGAGUUCGGGAGAGGUGAGUGGAACUGCGAGUGUAGAGGUGAAAUUCGUAGAUAUUCGCAAGAACACCAGUGGCGAAGGCGGCUCACUGGCCCGAUACUGACGCUGAGGCACGAAAG
rnacentral:rRNA from 1 species